rnacentral:rRNA from 1 species
UUCUCGAAAAUUGAAAGAUUUGGCGGUAUUUUAGUCUGUUCAGAGGAAUUGUUCCAUAAAUGAUGGUCCACGAUAGUUGUUACUUCAGCUUUAAAUUUGUAUAUCGUCGUAUGAAGAAUAUUUUUUUGAUUAAUGUUUUCAGAUCAAGGUGUAGUUGAUGUUGAAGAAGGGGUGGGUUACGCUUUAAUGAUGGUAUGAAUUGGAUUUGAAGGUAAGCUCUAUAAUAUGCACAUAUUGCCCGUCGCUUCCAUUUUAGGUGGAAUAAGUCGUAACAAAGUAGGCUUACCGGAAGGUGAGUCUGGAAAGCAAAUUAGAGCUUGAAAAGCGUUUUAUUUACACUAAAAAGUUAAUUGUUAAAAUCAAUUUAAUUUGAUGAGAAAGUGUUUAUUUUUAUUUUUAUUUUGUUUUAAUUUGAAUAUGAGGGUGUUUUGUCUUUAAUGAUGCAAUAUAAUUAUAGUUUAGUGUACUGUGGAGGAUUAUUUUUAUUUUUUUAUAAGAAGGUUUUGUUGGCUGUACCUUGUGUAUCAGGGUUGAUUAAUAAAUGUUUCCCGAAUUGAGGAGAGCUAGUUUUAUUGUUUUAUAAAUAUUUAUAAUUUGGUGCUUGAAAUGAAACGUUAUUCGUUCCUUAAUAUAUCUGGUUUCUUGCGAAUUGAAUUUAAUUGUAGUUUAGUUAAUAUAAUUAAUUAGGGAUAAGCUUAUAUUUGGAUAAUUAAAAAUUUAGGUUUUAUUUAGAUAAAUAGGAUUAGAAAUGUUCAUUUUUUAUAGUUUUUAAUAAUAAAUUUUUUUAAAUUAUUUAGUGAGUAUUUUAGAUUUAUUGUGAUCCUGAGGAUAUAAUGAUUGAAUUAUUAAGGCGAGAUUAAGGAAUUCGGCAAUACUAUUUUCCACCUGUUUAAUAAAAACAUGUCCUUUUGUUAAUGAUUUAAGGUCUAACCUGCCCAAUGAUUUAAUGGCCGCAGUAUACUGACUGUGCGAAGGUAGCAUAAUCAUUAGUUUAUUAAUUGUAAACUGGUAUGAAUGGUUGGAUGAGAAAAUAACUGUCUCUAGAAUUUUACUUUUAGGUGAAAAGGCUUAGAUUUUUUAAAAAGACGAGAAGACCCUAUAGAGUUUUUUUCUUGGGGUGACUUGAAAAUUUAAUCUACUUUUUAUUU